UACAGGGGGGCAAGCGUUGUUCGGAAUUACUGGGCGUAAAGGGUUCGUAGGUGGCUAACUAAGUCAGACGUGAAAUCCCUCAGCUUAACUGGGGAACUGCGUCUGAAACUGGAUAGCUUGAGUGCAGGAGAGGAACGCGGAAUUCCAGGUGUAGCGGUGAAAUGCGUAGAUAUCUGGAGGAACACCGGUGGCGAAGGCGGCGUUCUGGACUGUAACUGACACUGAGGAACGAAAGCCAGGGGAGCAAACGGG
rnacentral:rRNA from 1 species